GCGCGAGUGGCGGAACUGGCAGACGCGCUAGGUUGAGGGCCUAGUGGGAGAUAAUCCCGUGGAGGUUCGAGUCCUCUCUCGCGCA
rnacentral:tRNA from 1 species